UACGGGGGGAGCAAGCGUUGUUCGGAUUUACCGGGCGUAAAGGGCGCGUAGGCGGUCAGCACAAGUCAGUUGUGAAAUCUCCGGGCUUAACCCGGAAAGGUCAACUGAUACUGUGCGACUAGAGUGCGGAAGGGGCAACUGGAAUUCUCGGUGUAGCGGUGAAAUGCGUAGAUAUCGAGAGGAACACCUGCGGCGAAGGCGGGUUGCUGGGCCGACACUGACGCUGAUGCGCGAAAGCCAGGGGAGCGAACGGG
rnacentral:rRNA from 1 species